rnacentral:rRNA from 1 species
AAACCAGCACCUCAAGUGGUCAGGAUGAUUAUUGGGCCUAAAGCAUCCGUGGCCGGCUCUGUAAGUGUUCGGUUAAAUCUGUACGCUUAACGUACAGGCUGCUGGGAAUACUGCAGGGCUAGGGAGUGGGAGAGGUAGACGGUACUCGGGAGGAAGUGGUAAAAUGCUUUGAUCUCUCGAUGACCACCUGUGGCGAAGGCGGUCUACCAGAACAUGUCCGACGGUGAGGGAUGAAAGCUGGGGGAGCAAACCGGAUUAGAAACCCCAGUAGUCC